UACAGAGGUCCCAAGCGUUGUUCGGAUUCACUGGGCGUAAAGGGUGCGUAGGCGGUCGGGUAAGUCUGACGUGAAAUCUCCAAGCUCAACUUGGAAAUGGCGUCGGAUACUAUUCGGCUCGAGGAAUGGAGGGGAGACUGGAAUUCUCGGUGCAGCAGUGAAAUGCGUAGAUAUCGAGAGGAACACCAGUGGCGAAGGCGAGUCUCUGGACAUUUCCUGACGCUGAGGCGCGAAAGCCAGGGGAGCAAACGGG
rnacentral:rRNA from 1 species